AGCCAAUUUCAAAGACAGCCUCGAGAGAGUAACGUGUUAUUGAGAUCACCUGGGCGCUAUGCUUGCCUGAACCCAGUUAAGGCCUUUAUAUAAAUCCUUAAAGUGGUAGCUGGCUGGUUGGUUGGUGUAGGGAUUUCUGCUCAGCUUGCGGCCUCUCGGGACGAGCCUCCUGGAAAAUAACACAGGUCUUGAAGAUAUACACAGGAAAAUUUCUGUUGGAUAAUACAACUGUCAAACUCAAGUCUCUUCAGACAUCCUUCACAAACCACAGAUCAACAAGGUUCCUUCUGCUGUCUACUUCUAGAAAUACCUGCCUUCGGGGCCGUUCUUUCUAAGGGAGUCAAAUGUUGUUCACCACCUAGCUCCCUGAUGGACCCAUGUAUUUUCUGAAGUCACUCCAGGGAGAGGGAACUGGCGCUGGUGACAGAGCCAGGGAGGACAGGGACUAGAGCCGGCGAGGAUACGUCUUUGGCAGUACUACGAUUUGUGUUUCGAUUCCCUGUCUAACAUGGCAGCAGACACCAACUGGGAACCAAGAUUAGAUAUGAGGAUUUGUCACACGGGAUGCUUAUGUAACGAUGAUCUGGAGAACUUUUUCGCUCCUGCUGUUACCCUAACACAGCAGUGGCACUCUGGUGGACUUCCUGCAGGCAGGCUGGUGACAGGUAAGCCUAAAGUUUGUCACGCCACUCGGAGAAGUUCCUUUGAGCAGGAGUUGUUGAAGGUGAGCAAACUAUUCCCCUGCUUAGCUGCUCCCUUUCUCUCCAUGCCUCUCUAAGACUGGGGUCUUGCCCAACUUGCAGCCAGUGAAUCAGAACCUUACACUGCACUUUGAGUGAUUGCAAAGAUGAAGGCAUUAGUGGCAGCAAUGACUCAAACGGUAACACUCAGAGAUUCAGAUUCGGAAUCAGCAUCGUGGAACUGUCCGUGUUACUGAAUCUAAAAACAGAAGUCAAAUACAGCAAUGGAUUAAGUAGUACAAAAACCUACGGUAGUUCCCUACAUUAAUGUGUAAUGUUGAAGCUUCCCUUCACACAUCAAGAGAAGCACUUUGGGGAAAUUCUACUCAGGUUUCAGUUCUCAAUAGGCAGGUAGACUAUUUUGUGCUAAAACAUCUAAACGUAUUGUAACAUAAUUAGAGCUGCUCAGAGUUCUAGGGAACAGCCUGUCAGUUCUUCCAGGAUUUCAUUUUUAAUUUGCCUCAGGAGCAUAGGACCCACUUCAGAGUCUAUUUAAAUAGAGACAAUCUUGCACAGGUGGGAAUGUAAAUAUCCCUCCAAGGCUAAGUUGUGAGGCUAAAAUAAGUUGCUAUAGAUAUUUGCCAACUGGUUUGAGCUACACAUGUGUGAAAGUCUGUUUUCUGGGGAGAUCAUCUUGAGUUUUAUACUUGCCUAAUAAUUUUCCUCAUUCGUAAAUGUGCCCUCAGUUUUGUUACUUCUAAAUAUGUAUAAUUUGGGUUCUUAUGACAAAGCAGUUCCAUUCACAGAUACGUACCCCAACAGGCGCGUGCACGUGUGUUUGUGUGUGUGUGUGUGUGUGUGUGUACUCACCAAAAGAUAUGUAUAAGAUUCUUCAAAGAAGCACCAUUUGGAAACAGUCCAAAUAUCUACCAACAGCUGAAUGGAUAAAUACAUAGUGGUGCAUUGAUAUGGUGAAAUACUGUACAGCAAUUAAAAAGAACAAUUAUGGCUGCACACAAGGUAGAGAUGUGCUACUAUAUCACUAACAAAGUAUUGACAAAGGGAACAGAUGCAUCAUAUAUAUAUAUAUAUAUAUAUAUAUAUAUAUAUAUAUAUGACUGUAAUAUAUUAGUGAAAAAAUGGACAAGUUUUGGAGCUUCAAGUCAGGAUGGGAGGAGAGGGUGCACAGAAUCGUUUGGAGUUCUAGAGAGCUGGGGAUAUUUUUUUUCUUAAUCAAGACUGGUAUCUAUGUAUUUGGUUUAGAAAAAUUCAUUGAACUGGCUCUGUCCUUCACUAAAUAAAUGAUUUAGCAGAUCCCAUAGCCUUUGUAUGCUCUGAUUAUGUGAAGAAAAUGACACUUGAAACUUCCUAUUGUGAUCAGUUUAAUAAAGCAUCAUGUUGGUCUCUAUCUUUCUAAAUUCUCUUUUGCAAUAAUUAAUUUAUACAAUAAUUGGUGAAUGCCUAUUUUAUUCUUAGUUCUGUAUAACACAAUCAAGUACAUAACAUGAUGAUUUCUCCCAAAGAGUUUAUAUGAGUUAGGAAAAUAGCAGAUACGUGAUAAACAUUAAUACAAAUCAAGAAAAGCCUUUGUAAGUAGUACACAGAUGAGUUAUACAGAGGUGGAAGAAACACACAUGCCAAGGACAGGUUGCCUAAUGCUAAGAUAAUUAUCUUCUCAGCUGGUAAAACACUGCUGAUGCAGAAAGAUUGAAAUUUUCUAUGAACUGAACUCUUCUUGAGGGUUCUGCAAAGAUAUUUUCCAUCAUUAGAUGAUUUCAGUUAAUAAUGCUCUGGUAAUCAUUUUAAAGAAAGUUUCUUGGUCCAAACAAUGUGCCAAAACAAAAGUAAAAUAAAACAAAAGAAUGUGUUUUAUGAAAAUUAUAAAUGAAGCCAACAUCAACUCUUCAUUGCUUAACAGAGCCCUAAUUGUGUUUCUCUUAUAGUCUAGCACUUAGCAUCCAUACAGUUCUUUUGCUCUGGUUUCAUGUUGGAGAAACCAACUCUCUUACUACUUUAAGAGAUUUUCUGAAGAGUUGACUCUGAAGAGUCUAAAUGGUUUUGAAGGUCUUCCCAAGCAUACGGAGUGGCUUGGAAAAUCAACAACAAUAAAUAGAGCUUUCAGGUCUUACAAAGUAGGAAGUAUAACAAUAGUAUGUCGGCAAGGACACCCAGCCAAGACACUUCUGACACCUCUAUACUAUGUUUCCAGGAAAAUUGGGUACUGUCAAUGCCACUCCAGGACACCUCCGUGAUCAGGGUUGUACACCAUUAGUAUCACAGCCACUCAUGUUUAUAUCACUUUUUUAAGAUUCAGAGUCCUGGAUGAGAGCAUCUUAUUGGCAACAAAUGGCCUAGUUAGCUGCUGGAGUGAAGAGAGAAAGAGGGUGCCCCUUGCUUCUCGAGUAUUCACACUGAAAACCCAACAUUGUCUGCCACCAAAAACAAAAAUACAAAGUGGGGAAGCUUUCCCAACCAGGAAAGGUGAAUGAAUACUAAAUAGAAAAAAACAAAUGCAUCUGUUUAAACAGUAAAAUGAUCCGAUAUUGUAAUUGCUUGUCUGAUUUUUCUCUGCUAGCGGGCUGCCAUCAACCUGACGGUAGAAACAUCAUCUUAUUAUUGUAUGUCCCAGUACUUACAGGAACAUUUGAGUUUGAGCAUAUAAUAGAAGCUUAAUGGCUAUUUGAUGGGUAGAUAGGUGAAUGAAAACAAUUAGUGAAUCAGUUUAAGCCAGAACCUGUGCUUGCAUAAUUUUGUAGAGCUCUCAAAAUAUUCUUAUACUUGAAUCUGAACCCAAUCAGUAUUUGAUUUGACCUUACAAAUAAUAAAGUAAGAGACUGACAUUUCAACAAAAACAGUCAAAGGAUUUAAAUACAAAGUUCACAAAGGAAGAAACACAAUCAAUAUCCAUAUGAAAAACCUGGCUGGUUGCUACUAAAAUGGAAAAUAAAGCAAGUGUGAGACACUGUCUGAAAACCUGGAAUCUCGAGCAGAUCUAGGUACACUUUUAUACAGUAAAAGUAUAAAAUUCAUUCCAUUAAUGAAUAUUCAAUUUGUUGAAGAAUGAGUGACAUAAUUCAAUUCUCAACCAUAAAAUAGGCAAAGAUUGAAUAAAUUAUCAUGGAUAACAUUCCAAGUGUGUGGAAGGAAGAUAAAUAGGUGUAGCCUUUCUGGAAAACAGUUUGGCAAGAUGUACUAAAAACCUUUAAGGAGUAUAACUCUCUCCACUCAGCCAUUUGUCUAAAAAUAACCAAAAAUGUACAUAAAUGUUGACAUACAAGGAUAUCCACUGUGAGGACACCAUCGCCCACUGCAGAAGUCAGAGAUAGGUGUAGACUCAUCCUCUCCCAGGCUCCUCCAUCCUACUGCAAUGGACCAAGCAGUGGGUAAACUUGGCUUGAAAUUUGAGAAAACUCUGAAAAGCCACACUUCUUAUUACUAAAUCUGAACCUGGGUAAAGAGCAUUCCUUCUCUGUGGGCAUUUAAAAACUUUGUGUAGCAAUGUGGUCAAUAAGCCCUUUAAGAGGUCAUGUAAGAUCCUGGACUUUGGAUUCAGGUUGCUUAGGUUCGAGUCCCUGCUCUGCCACAUGCUAUUUGAGUAAUAUCUCGAGUAGUUAAUUUAACUGUCCAGUGUCUUCGUUUUCCUGUUUGUAAUACGGAUGUUAUUCACUGUAACUAUUUAUAGGGUUGUGGUAAGGAUAAACGAUAUGAUUAUAUGUGAAGUGCUCAGAACAUUGGGUGGGAUAUAGCGAAUGCCACCUAAGUUGUAGCUCUUCUAUGGGUUGAUUAUACGGCCCUACUUCUUCAGUACGAUGCCACAUCUUUAAAUAAUGAUCUGAGAAACUAAGAAGUAAAAAAGCUCUGAAUAAUGUCAGGUAUCAAAAAAAGAAAAACUGAAUAGGAAUGCACUAUUAUUGGAGGAGUUAGGAUCUGUGCACAACGCAGGUUGUGAACAAUCUCCAGAAAGAGAAGGAGAAAGAGAACCAUCGUGGCAUCUAAAACAGCGAGUGAGGAUGUCUUCCUGACCUAUGUUCUCCUUUCAACAAGGAUAUUCUCUAUUACUACCACUCUAACAGGAGGGUUCAAUCAGCUUGACCACUUGCAAACUGGAUGAGAUCACGAGGCUUUAGAGAUCUUAACAGUGAAGAGGCUUGUGACUCACAAGCCCAAGGAAGGUCUGUGAGCGAUGCCUGUAUUGGCAGCAUGUGGUGAUAAAGGAAGUUAUGGCUCAGCGUAGGGAAACAACCAUCGUGUGAAAUGGUAAUGCUCUUGUGCUUUUCUCUCAGUUCAAGCACUGCUUCUCCAAAGAUGGAGAUAUUAUUUAGUCUCCAAAGAAGGAGACUAAUUCACACUUGCCCCAAGUUUUCAUUCUUCCACUCUUUGUUCUGUGAUCUGUAAGGAAUACAGUUCUCGAUUUCUGGCAUCCAUGAAAUCUGUCAUUUUUUUCAGUUUAUUUUGCUUGUCAACUGAAAGAACAUCACUGCUAUUCAGUGGCAAUUCGAAUAGAUGUGACAUGAUUUUCCUGUGCAGAUUUUACCUGAUAAUAUUAAAUCAAUAAUAAAAUUCUUCCCUUAUCUCAGCUUAUGCAUACCCUAUUAGCUAUGGCCUGUGGGUAGGAGAAAAUAAAAUGAAGACUUUGAUCUCCAAAAACUAAAAUAUCUGGUAAUUCUGGCACUAUUUUUAUGAGUUAUGACAUCAUAUUUUUUUUAAGUAAGAAGAAAAAUGCAGUACCAUAGGGGAUAAAUUCCCUGAAUGUGUAAAUCAAUGGGCCCCAGAUACAAGUAUUUUUAGAAACUAAGACAGCGUUAGCUAUAUGAGAGUCAAGGCAAAUUGGAGAAAAAGAUACUGUAAAUCAUAUUUCUUUUUUUAAUAGUCAAAGAAUUAGGAUGAAUUCUUACAUUCAGCCUCACACUCUUCUCUAGUUAUUCUUUUAAAUAUUUCUUCCAGAGAAGAGCAUUUUUCAUGGGAGAAUUUGUGGGAGAUUAAAGAUGGCUCACAUAAUCUGCUACUCCUUCUACUGAGACAUCAAAUCUGAUUCCUCGCCUGUUGAGUCUAGGCUGGUCUUAGUGACUUCCUUACCAAUAAUAAUUCCAGGCCUUCGAAGAUAGGGCUUUGGCUAGGCCUCUGGGAACAUCCCCCUUGAAUCCCUGAGCUGCCAUGCAAGAAGUAUAGCUUUUGGCCACCAUGCUGAAGAAACCAUGUAGAAAGCAUAGCAAUGACAUGAAGUGAGAAGAGAGAUACCUUAGCUCAGCUAUUCUAACCUCUCUAGUCAGUAAGUCAGUCACCCUGAGGCCCCAGAGGCCAUGAAGCAGAGUUGAGUCAGUAUCACACAUCCUGCCCAAAUUUCAGAUCUGUAAGAAACAUAAAUGUCCAUUGUUCUGUUAAAUCACUAAGUUGUAGGCUUGUUUGUUAUACAGUAAUAGCUAACAGGAACAUAAUUAAUAAGUGUACAACCAACUUCCUUGGCCAAGAAACAUGGGCACACCUGGGGCAUGUAAUACUUUCUAGUGCCAAUGACCUAAAGAGUUUAAGGGACAGUAUUUUGAAGCAACAGAGUGAAAAGAACAUUCCAGCUUAGAUCAAAAACUUGUUUAUAAGGAAAUUCUUAAUUUGGAGCAGACUCCAAAGUAACAAUAGCUUCGCAUAGAGUCUUUUUCAAUGCUGGAUGUGUGUUAACUGCAUAUUUUAAGGAGUAAUGUGGAGUUUGUUAUUCUAUUAGAGGUGAUGAUGGGGUGAUGAUGGGGUUUACAGAAAAGCUGGUCUCUAAAGUGCUGGUAAAGGUUUGAUGUCUACAUUCUUCAACUAUUCACUGAGUUAUAGAAUCAGUUUUUUUUUCUUUUUAAGUAAUACUUUGUAUCUUAUUUCAUUUUUACAAUAAGCAGGUAUUCUAGGCCGGAAUGCUUGAUAAUAUAUCUUAAAUCUUUAAGACUUUUCUAUAAUCUUUACUACAUAGUAAGGAGUUUUGCUUUUUGUCCCUACAGAUUUUUUUCAUUACCAUAUUGACUUUUGCUUUGAAUAUAUAUAUUUUUCAACUUUUUAUUUGCAACUCUUGGCUGAGAUAACAAAAAUCCCAGCAGCUAGUAGUAAGUGCUUGCCAACAAAUGACUUAAAUAAAUGUUUUCUUCAUAUAAAAGUCACCUCUGAUUCAUUUUUAUUGGGAUUAAAUCAAUAAUAACUCCAUUUCCCUUAUUUAGAAAUGAGAUUCCUUUAUUCAACAAUGUGGGAACAUGUUGUUAAAUAAAAAGAAAAAAGUAUUUUUAGUACUGUAUAUGAUACUAAUUGAAAUACACACACACACACACACACACAGAACAAUCUCCCCUAUCACUUUUUAAAAAUAUUUUGAGUAGUGGCUCUAACUGUAACGUUUAAAUUUUCUCUUUCAAGAUAUAUGUAUUUAAAAGUUUCUGUAUUUAACUUUUAUAAGUUUAUAAAUAUA